CUCCGCCGCUCCCCCGCCCCGAGGCAGCUCCUCCUCAUCCUCCUCAUCCCCGCUGGCCCUGCUCCAUCCCGGUUCUCCCCGCGCACUCGGGAGCCGCAGCCGGGAGCGCCGCGCAGCCGCCGCCCGGCCCUGCGCCAUGGCCGAGGGGGAGAUCAGCACCUUCAGCGCCCUCACCGAGAGGUUCGACCUGCCCGGAGGCAGCUACAGGAGCCCCAAACUGCUCUACUGCAGCAACGGGGGGCACUUCCUGCGCAUCCUGCCCGACGGCACCGUGGACGGCACCAGGGACCGCAGCGACCUGCACAUUCAGCUGCAGCUGAGUGCAGAGAGCGUGGGGGUGGUGCACAUCAGGAGCACGCAGUCGGGGCAGUACCUGGCCAUGGACACCAACGGGCUGCUCUACGGCUCGCAGUUACUGGGUGAGGAGUGUCUGUUCCUGGAAAGGCUCGAAGAAAACCACUACAACACCUACGUGUCCAAAAUGCACGCGGACAAGAACUGGUUUGUGGGGCUGAAGAAGAACGGGAACAGCAAGCUGGGCCCGCGGACUCACUAUGGCCAGAAGGCGAUCCUCUUCCUGCCCCUGCCCGUCUCAGCCGACUGAGGCCUGCCCCGAAGCUCAGAGAGGACCCCAAAUCCCAAACCCACCUGCUGCUGCCUCCCUAGAGCUCAGCAGAGCUCCGAGCUUUAGGUCAAGGUUUUGCCAAACCCAGCCAACGCAGAGCCCCUUUGCUCUGCAGGAAGCUUUGCAGAGAUGAGGGGACGAGCCCUGACACCCUCCCCGAGGUCCACGGGGCCCCAUCUCCUCCUGCCCUCAGCUCUGUGUCUGUGUGUGCCAUGGCCCUCAGCUGUGUGUCUGUGUGUGCCAUGACCCUCAGCUGUGUGUCUGUGUGUCCCAUGACCCUCAGCUGUGUGUCUGUGUGUCCCAUGACCCUCAGCUGUGUGUCUGUGUGUGCCAUGACUACGUUGCAGAAAUGUGCCCGAGGGUCACUCCGGUUCCCAGAGAAGCGCACACUUUGUGUCCCCAGGCACUGCAAGGCAAAGCCUCCCUGGAAACUGUGUGUUAGUACAUUCAUCCAUGCAGGUGUGCAGCUUCUGACACGCCCCCGAGCAAUUCCAGGUUGCCCCAUCAGUCCUGUUAGCCAGGGCCAGCCUGGCAAGUGCCAGCUGGGCAUGUUCAGCUGAACUAGGCAAAGCUCCAGCCUCAGCCCUUGGCCUCCCUCACAACAUCAAUAGUGUGUAUUCCAUGCUAGUACCUGCCAUAUGUUAUUUGUAUUUAUUUAUUAAGUAAAUAUGUCUCUUCCA